GUGCCUAAUACAUGCAAGUCGUACGCUUCUUUUUCACCGGAGCUUGCUCCACCGGAAAAAGAAGAGUGGCGAACGGGUGAGUAACACGUGGGUAACCUGCCCAUCAGAAGGGGAUAACACUUGGAAACAGGUGCUAAUACCGUAUAACAAUCGAAACCGCAUGGUUUUGAUUUGAAAGGCGCUUUCGGGUGUCGCUGAUGGAUGGACCCGCGGUGCAUUAGCUAGUUGGUGAGGUAACGGCUCACCAAGGCCACGAUGCAUAGCCGACCUGAGAGGGUGAUCGGCCACAUUGGGACUGAGACACGGCCCAAACUCCUACGGGAGGCAGCAGUAGGGAAUCUUCGGCAAUGGACGAAAGUCUGACCGAGAACGCCGCGUGAGUGAAGAAGGUUUUCGGAUCGUAAAACUCUGUUGUUAGAGAAGAACAAGGAUGAGAGUAACUGUUCAUCCCCCGCCCCAUCUAACCAGAAAGCCACGGCUAACUACGUGC
rnacentral:rRNA from 1 species